AACGAACGCUGGCGGCAGGCCUAACACAUGCAAGUCGAACGAAGUCUUCGGACUUAGUGGCGCACGGGUGAGUAACACGUGGGAAUAUACCUUACGCUGGGGGAUAACAUCGGGAAACUGAUGCUAAUACCGCAUACGCCCUUCGGGGGAAAGAUUUAUCGGCGAAAGAUUAGCCCGCGUCCGAUUAGCUAGUUGGUGAGGUAAUGGCUCACCAAGGCUCCGAUCGGUAGCUGGUCUGAGAGGAUGACCAGCCACACUGGGACUGAGACACGGCCCAGACUCCUACGGGAGGCAGCAGUGGGGAAUAUUGGACCAUGGGCGCAAGCCUGAUCCAGCCCUGCCGCGUGAGUGAUGAAGGCCUUAGGGUUGUAAAGCUCUUUCACCCACGACGAUGAUGACGGUAGUGGGAGAAGAAGCCCCGGCUAACUUCGUG
rnacentral:rRNA from 1 species